rnacentral:lncRNA from 1 species
GAGAGAGAGGGGAAGAGAGAUGUAAGUAGGAAUAUUUGUAUUUUAAGGUGUAAUCAUUUAUGUUCGUGCUACUAUUAUUAAGUUUUAAGUUCUAAGUUGUGAGAGCCCAAGUUAUAAGGGUGAUGUUCAUGCUACUAUAUAUAUCUAUGUUAUGUUCGGGUGUGCUAAUAUAUGUAUGUUUUAUUCAAGUAAUAGUGUGUUUU